rnacentral:rRNA from 1 species
UGAGGAACAUGACCUUCGGCGGGGGAGUAGCCGGCCCAACGGCCGGGUAAUACCGCGUACGACCACAUGGGGACAUUCCUGAGUGGUGAAAGCAGCAAUGCGCCGAUGGAGUGCCUCGCGGCCUAUCAGCUAGUUGGUGAGGUAACGGCUCACCAAGGCGACGACGGGUAGCUGGUCUGAGAGGAUGGCCAGCCACAUUGGGACUGAGACACGGCCCAGACCUCUACCGGGGAGG